UACGUAGGGGCAAGCGUUGUCCGGAAUCAUUGGGCGUAAAGCGCGUGUAGGCGGUUCGGUAAGUCUGCUGUGAAAGUCCAGGGCUCAACCCUGGAAGGCCGGUGGAAACUGUCGGGCUAGAGUCCGGAAGAGGCGAGUGGAAUUCCCGGUGUAGCGGUGAAAUGCGCAGAUAUCGGGAGGAACACCAAUGGCGAAGGCAGCUCGCUGGGACGGUACUGACGCUGAGGCGCGAAAGCGUGGGGAGCAA
rnacentral:rRNA from 1 species